UAGUUAAGAUGAACAUAUCAAGGAUAGACUCUAAAAAGGGGAUAAAGUGGGAUUUACAACUACCGGUUACUGGGUAGAAAACCACAAAGAGAAGAAAACUUGUCAUCGGUUAAGAUGAACAUAUCAAGGAUUAACUCUCUGAGGAACAAAAUAGGGAUUACAACUACCUUUUUACUAGGUAGAAUACCAAAAAUGAGGAUAUCCGUCACUAAUUAAAGUGAACAUA
rnacentral:lncRNA from 1 species